AAAUCAUUUUCUUGACAAACUCUAUGAUUUUUAAUUCAUAUGUUUCAAUAAACUUAAAAAGACAACAUAUGCUUUAAUUUUAUUUUUUUUUUAGUUUUAAUAGUUGAUAUAUAUAUUAUUUACAAUUCAAAAUUCUAUUUCAUCGUCAAUCUAACCCAUUUCAUGAUCUUUAUUUGCAUCAUUGUAUCCAUUGGCCUAACAUAAAUUGAAUGCCUAAAAUUUGUUUUCAAUAUUACAAAAAGGCUUAACCUAUUCUUCAGACCUUAUCACUCAAGGGGUGAGCAUAAGUUGAGUUGGGUUAGUUUUUGCCCCAAUCCAACACGGUCGAUUUGAUUGAAAUUCAACCCAACUCAUGGAAAAAUUGAAAUCUAACCCAACCCAAUCCAACCAAAUGUCAAUCGAGUUGUUUGGUUCGGGACAACCUGUUAACAAAUAUUAAAGUCACCAAAAUACUGAGAAACCAUGAUCUUUGUUUUUUAAGACACCACUGCCAUCAAGAGCACAAGUCAAACAUCCGAACAAAAAUAAAUUGAUAGUAAAUAUACCAUGCUUAACAAACAUUUGACCUUGAGAAAACUGUCACUACUAAAAAACAGCUUUUCACCCACGAAAAAUUACCAACGGAUUGUAAUUCGUUGGUAAAAGUAAUUCACUUUUAACUACGAUAACCAACAACGAAUUUUUCAUUAAUAACUAUGAUAUCUCUUUACCAAUGAAUAUUUCCUGUCUCAUGCAACCGUUUAACAUUUGAAUUUUCACCUACAGGAUAUCCGUAAAUGACGUACUGAAUAUUAUCAACGGAUGCAAUCUGUUGGUAAUUAGAAACGGAUUAUCCAUUGGUAAAGUAAUUUACUUUCAACUACGAUAAUCAGCAACGAAUUUUUC
rnacentral:lncRNA from 1 species